AGGUGCGAUCAUACCAGCACUAAUGCACCGGAUCCCAUCAGAACUCCGCAGUUAAGCGUGCUUGGGCGAGCGUUGUACUAGGAUGGGUGACCUCCUGGGAAGUCCUCGUGUUGCACCUCUUU
rnacentral:rRNA from 1 species